rnacentral:tRNA from 1 species
GGGGAUGUAGUGUAGCUGGCUUAACACACUGCCCUGUCAAGGCAGAGAUCGCGGGUUCGAAUCCCGUCAUCCCCG